rnacentral:tRNA from 1 species
CCGGAUCUAGCUCAGUUGGUAAAGCACAAAGCUCUUAACCUUGUGGACGUGGGUUCAAGCCCCAUGGUGGA